UACGGAGGGUGCGAGCGUUGUCCGGAAUCACUGGGCGUAAAGGGCGCGUAGGCGGCCUGAUGAGUAGGGGGUGAAAUCCUGCGGCUUAACCGCAGGGCUGCCUUCUAAACUGUCAGGCUCGAGCACAGUAGAGGCAGGUGGAAUUCCCGGUGUAGCGGUGGAAUGCGUAGAGAUCGGGAAGAACAUCAGUGGCGAAGGCGGCCUGCUGGGCUGUUGCUGACGCUGAGGCGCGACAGCGUGGGGAGCAAACAGG
rnacentral:rRNA from 1 species